ACAGAGGGUGCGAGCGUUGUCCGGAAUCACUGGGCGUAAAGGGCGCGUAGGUGGCCCGACAAGUCUGUGGUGAAAGCUCGACGCUCAACGUCGAGUCGGCCAUAGAUACUGUUGGGCUGGAGCACUGUAGAGGCUCAUGGAAUUCCGAGUGUAGAGGUGAAAUUCGUAGAUGUUCGGAAGAACACCAGUGGCGAAGGCGACUUACUGGACACAUAUUGACGCUGAGGUGCGAAAGCGUGGGGAGCAAACAGGA
rnacentral:rRNA from 1 species